rnacentral:rRNA from 1 species
UACAGAGGGGGCAAGCGUUAUUCGGAAUUAUUGGGCGUAAAGGGCGCGUAGGCGGCUUUGCAAGUGACGGGUGAAAGCCCUCGGCUUAACCGAGGAACUGCCUGUCAGACUGUAAGGCUUGAGACCGGGAGAGGUGAGUGGAAUUCCCAGUGUAGCGGUGAAAUGCGCAGAUAUCAGGAGGAACACCGGUGGCGAAGGCGGGUCUCUGGGCCGAUACUGACGCUGAGGAGCGAAAGCGUGGGGAGCGAACAGG